rnacentral:lncRNA from 1 species
AUGACAUCCAAUUCAGUCAGUCCAACUCCUGGAAUAGCCCUCAAGUCCCCAUCUCCCAGUGUUCUGGAUAAAUGUGCUUGGACUUCAUUGUAAAACUCCGGGUCAAUGGACGGCCGAGUACUCAAACAAACCCUUCUGACCAUGUGCAAAGACAGUCCUCCAGCCUGCGCUGUUGCAGGUGAACCCAUGGCAGGGAAAUAUGAGCAGCUGGCAGACUUACAACAGAUGCCAUCUUAAUUGGUCUGUGAUGAAGGUGCAAAUAAGCUGUGAAUAGAUGGAUACCUUGCUGAAUUGAAAUUGCAGGGGAUAUCAAGAUUUAAUUACACUAAAUGUAAGAUACUGCAACCUUGUUAACAGCAUGUCUGAAAGGUACUUCACUUGGAAGAUCUCUGUUUUCCUGCAGCAAAUCAUCAGGCAUUGUUCAGAAAAAACUUCACACCAAACUUGCUUUACUUUGGAAGAAGUCGAAAGUCCUGUAUUUAAACCUCUUCUUAAGUCUACUGUGGGCCCCACGGUACCAGGACCAGGACCUCUUUUCCCUCUUAGGUUGCAUUUGAUAAGGUGGAAAACUGGUAAGAUGGAACACCUUGUGUUUUUCUAGCACCUGAAGCACAUUCAGAAUCGAUUUUGUUACUAACCUGGAUCCCACACUUGCAUGUACGUAGCAUGGAGGUGUGGACGGCCUGCUCAUUCCAAACAUCACAGGGUUACAUUAAACAGAGAUAAGUCCUGCUCUGGAGAUGUUGAUGCUGACUAGUUUAUAUAUCUUGAAAUAUGCAUCCUCCUGCAAUACGCAGGCCUCUUCCCUGUGGGACCCUUGGAUUCAGGCCAGGACAAGCUGUUC